rnacentral:rRNA from 1 species
UACGGGGGGGGCAAGCGUUGUUCGGAAUUACUGGGCGUAAAGGGCUUGUAGGUGGCCAACUAAGUCAUACGUGAAAUCCCUCGGCUUAACCGGGGAACUGCGUCUGAUACUGGAUGGCUUGAGGUUGGGAGAGGGAUGCGGAAUUCCAGGUGUAGCGGUGAAAUGCGUAGAUAUCUGGAGGAACACCGGUGGCGAAGGCGGCAUCCUGGACCAAUUCUGACACUGAGGAGCGAAAGCCAGGGGAGCAAGCGGG